GAAAAAAGCCCGAGUAGAAAACAAAGAAGUUAAGGAGCCAGAGAGGAAGAAAUAAAAAGUAGAACUUGAACAUGGGCUUGCAGGACUUAGUGCCAAUACAGCUGAAUUCCUGUGUAGGCUCUUCACAGAAACAGCCUGAGUCCCUGAUUCAGUGGAAAUUCCAAGAAGUAUGUUUUAAAACUGCAAAUUCAAGGAAUAUCUGGUAUGCAAGAGGUGAAUAAUGUCAGUGAUGAAAUACAUGAUCUAUAACCAGACGGCCUAAAGACUGUCACUUGUACUUGCACUGAGAUUCAAACUAAAAGCCUGGAAGUGUCCAUACUAUGAGAUUUUGUCGAACUCCCUGCCUAAUUACAAUGAUGACAUGUAAACUUAUAGGAAGUUAUGUUCAUUUUUCUGCCCUUGAACUGUAUCAACAGGCUGGUUUCAAAACUAGUAGUUUUGAAAAUAUGUAACUCUUUUUGCUUAGCAAUUGCUUUGCAAGGCCCUGGAAAGUAGACAGCCGUCCAUAAAUUAUCCAUUUAAGCUAUUCAAAUUUUCAUAGUUGUAUUGUAAAAUAUAUUAUUUUAAACUUAAACCAAGAUUAACAACAUGCCAUCUGUGAACUUCUAAGUAAGGAAAAAGAAUUCAGAAGUUAUGAGUUAAAAAUAGUAAGAAUAAAAAUAUUCCCAAAAGAUGAGGUUACUUAUUACUAGAAAUUACAUUUGACAGAUGUCCGUUUGUCAGCAACAGUUUCUUCUCUUUGAUUUUUUUCCCCUCCAUUUACAGAGAUGUAUUAACUGCUUUGGUUAGACAAAUUGGCAUAAUGAAGACAAGAACAUUAACUGCUUGAGUUUGAGAACCAGCCCCAAUUUUAAACCACAAUUAAUUUAGCCGUAUAUGACAGCAGAUAGAUCUAGCAACUGAACACAGUCGUGUGCAGAAUGACAGCAGUGACUCACUGCCAUUUACCACUACUA